UGCCUUCUCGUUUCCCUUCCAGGUACCUUCUGUUUUGUUUGCUCCAAGCCAUCUCAUGUCUCUUCUGACACUUGGGAUCAACUCUGCCAUGGUGCUAGACUGCGGAUAUAAAGAAAGCUUGGUGCUGCCUAUUUAUGAGGGAACUCCAAUUCUGAGCUGCUGGGGUUCUCUUCCUUUGGGAGGAAAAGCCAUCCACAAGGAGCUGGAAUAUCGGCUGUUGGAGCAGUGCACAGUUGAUACAGGAUUAGCCAAAGGACAAAGCCUUCCGUCUGUAAUGGGUAAGGGCUGCUUGCUGCAGU